GCGUUGGUGGUGCAACGGUUCAGCACACGCUCCCGAAUAGAGUGAGAUUUGAUUUCAAGUACCAGCUGAUGCA